rnacentral:rRNA from 1 species
GAACUUAGCAGAGAUGCUUUGGUGCCUUUCGGGAACUCUGAGACAGGUGCUGCAUGGCUGUCGUCAGCUCGUGUUGUGAAAUGUUGGGUUAAGUCCCGCAACGAGCGCAACCCUUAUCCUUUGUUGCCAGCGGCUCGGCCGGGAACUCAAAGGAGACUGCCGGUGAUAAACCGGAGGAAGGUGGGGAUGACGUCAAGUCAUCAUGGCCCUUACGGCCAGGGCUACACACGUGCUACAAUGGCGCAUACAAAGAGAAGCGACCUCGCGAGAGCAAGCGGACCUCAUAAAGUGCGUCGUAGUCCGGAUUGGAGUCUGCAACUCGACUCCAUGAAGUCGGAAUCGCUAGUAAUCGUAGAUCAGAAUGCUACGGUGAAUACGUUCCCGGGCCUUGUACACACCGCCCGUCACACCAUGGGAGUGGGUUGCAAAAGAAGUAGGUAGCUUAACCUUCGGGAGGGCGCUUACCACUUUGUGAUUCAUGACUGGGGUGAAGUCGUAACAAGGUAGGCGUAGCGAG